UAGCUACAAAAUAACUUAUUCUGUAGCCACUUUGAGUUACGAUAAUUAAAUUACUAUAUUAAUUUAUGAGAUUAUAGUAACUCCAUACUAAGUGGUUUACUAUAACGUUAUGGUAAAUAUCUCUAUGUGUUAUAGUAACCAAACUAUUGUAAAUAUGUGUUGAUAUUAUCGUAAAUUAGUAUAUAAAAUUAUCCUAAAUGAAAGUGGCUACAAAAUAACUUAUUUUAUAGCUG
rnacentral:pre_miRNA from 1 species